rnacentral:tRNA from 1 species
GGAGGGGUUCCCGAGUGGCCAAAGGGAGCAGAUUGUAAAUCUGCCAUGAAAGUUUCGGUGGUUCGAAUCCACCUCCCUCCACCA